GUUUCCGUAGUGUAGUGGUCAUCACGUUUGCCUAACACGCAAAAUGGUCCUCAGUUCGAAACUGGGCGGAAACA
rnacentral:tRNA from 1 species